GGUUAAGCGACUAAGCGUACACGGUGGAUGCCCUGGCAGUCAGAGGCGAUGAAGGACGUGCUAAUCUGCGAUAAGCGUCGGUAAGGUGAUAUGAACCGUUAUAACCGGCGAUUUCCGAAUGGGGAAACCCAGUGUGUUUCGACACACUAUCAUUAACUGAAUCCAUAGGUUAAUGAGGCGAACCGGGGGAACUGAAACAUCUAAGUACCCCGAGGAAAAGAAAUCAACCGAGAUUCCCCCAGUAGCGGCGAGCGAACGGGGAGCAGCCCAGAGCCUGAAUCAGUGUGUGUGUUAGUGGAAGCGUCUGGAAAGGCGCGCGAUACAGGGUGACAGCCCCGUACACAAAAAUGCACAUGCUGUGAGCUCGAUGAGUAGGGCGGGACACGUGGUAUCCUGUCUGAAUAUGGGGGGACCAUCCUCCAAGGCUAAAUACUCCUGACUGACCGAUAGUGAACCAGUACCGUGAGGGAAAGGCGAAAAGAACCCCGGCGAGGGGAGUGAAAAAGAACCUGAAACCGUGUACGUACAAGCAGUGGGAGCACGCUUAGGCGUGUGACUGCGUACCUUUUGUAUAAUGGGUCAGCGACUUAUAUUCUGUAGCAAGGUUAACCGAAUAGGGGAGCCGAAGGGAAACCGAGUCUUAACUGGGCGUUAAGUUGCAGGGUAUAGACCCGAAACCCGGUGAUCUAGCCAUGGGCAGGUUGAAGGUUGGGUAACACUAACUGGAGGACCGAACCGACUAAUGUUGAAAAAUUAGCGGAUGACUUGUGGCUGGGGGUGAAAGGCCAAUCAAACCGGGAGAUAGCUGGUUCUCCCCGAAAGCUAUUUAGGUAGCGCCUCGUGAAUUCAUCUCCGGGGGUAGAGCACUGUUUCGGCAAGGGGGUCAUCCCGACUUACCAACCCGAUGCAAACUGCGAAUACCGGAGAAUGUUAUCACGGGAGACACACGGCGGGUGCUAACGUCCGUCGUGAAGAGGGAAACAACCCAGACCGCCAGCUAAGGUCCCAAAGUCAUGGUUAAGUGGGAAACGAUGUGGGAAGGCCCAGACAGCCAGGAUGUUGGCUUAGAAGCAGCCAUCAUUUAAAGAAAGCGUAAUAGCUCACUGGUCGAGUCGGCCUGCGCGGAAGAUGUAACGGGGCUAAACCAUGCACCGAAGCUGCGGCAGCGACGCUUAUGCGUUGUUGGGUAGGGGAGCGUUCUGUAAGCCUGCGAAGGUGUGCUGUGAGGCAUGCUGGAGGUAUCAGAAGUGCGAAUGCUGACAUAAGUAACGAUAAAGCGGGUGAAAAGCCCGCUCGCCGGAAGACCAAGGGUUCCUGUCCAACGUUAAUCGGGGCAGGGUGAGUCGACCCCUAAGGCGAGGCCGAAAGGCGUAGUCGAUGGGAAACAGGUUAAUAUUCCUGUACUUGGUGUUACUGCGAAGGGGGGACGGAGAAGGCUAUGUUGGCCGGGCGACGGUUGUCCCGGUUUAAGCGUGUAGGCUGGUUUUCCAGGCAAAUCCGGAAAAUCAAGGCUGAGGCGUGAUGACGAGGCACUACGGUGCUGAAGCAACAAAUGCCCUGCUUCCAGGAAAAGCCUCUAAGCAUCAGGUAACAUCAAAUCGUACCCCAAACCGACACAGGUGGUCAGGUAGAGAAUACCAAGGCGCUUGAGAGAACUCGGGUGAAGGAACUAGGCAAAAUGGUGCCGUAACUUCGGGAGAA
rnacentral:rRNA from 1 species